rnacentral:ncRNA from 1 species
AAGAUUACUUUUAUAGAUUUUAAAUUUGAUUAUAAUUUGUUAGUAGUUAAAAUGAUAUUAUUUAAAUUUAAUUUAUUUUGUGGGCAAUGUUGUUUUACCCCGGCAAUUAGUUAUUUGUAUAACAUUUGUUCCAGAAUAAUCGGCUAGGCUUGUGAAAAUUUAUAUUUUAUUUUGUUUUGAUUACAAUUGUGUUAUUGUAUUUUUAGUAAUUAUAGGUUAAAUUUUAAUUAUUAUGUGUAAUGAGUUGUAAUUUUAAGAUUUGUUAAAACGAAUUAGAUUAGUACCUAAUUAGUCAAAAAUUAAAAGUGCAGAAGUAAAGUGGUAUUUAAACUGAAAGAAUAUUGGCAGAUUUUCUAAAUUAUCUUUGGAGGUUGAGUAAUAAUUGAGAACCCUCAUUAACUACUUUAAAGUUUUGGUCUCAUGUAUGAUCGUUUAUUUUAUACUUAAGGUAUAUAAUAAAAAAUGUUUAUUUAUAAAAAUAGAUAUAUAUUUGGUUUGUGUAAGAGUAAUAUUUGACCUACAAUAAGUUGUGUUUGUGGAUUUGUAAUUUAGUGUUAUAAUGAAAAUGUAAAAGACAGUAAAAAAAUUUUUAUGUUUUUUUGAAGAUUAUUUAGAUGUGGUACAAAUCAUCCAUCAAUUGUCCCAAGGGGAGUAAGUUGUAGUAAAGUAGAUUUAGGGGAACCUGAAUCUAGUAAAA